AGCCAGACUCCUACGGGAGGCAGCAGUGGGGAAUAUUGCACAAUGGGGGAAACCCUGAUGCAGCGACGCCGCGUGAGUGAUGAAGUAUUUCGGUAUGUAAAGCUCUAUCAGCAGGGAAGAAGAUGACGGUACCUGACUAAGAAGCCCCGGCUAACUACGUGCCAGCAGCCGCGGUAAUACGUAGGGGGCAAGCGUUAUCCGGAUUUACUGGGUGUAAAGGGAGCGUAGACGGCGAUGCAAGCCAGAUGUGAAAGCCCGGGGCUCAACCCCGGGACUGCAUUUGGAACUGUGUGGCUGGAGUGUCGGAGAGGCAGGCGGAAUUCCUAGUGUAGCGGUGAAAUGCGUAGAUAUUAGGAGGAACACCAGUGGCGAAGGCGGCCUGCUGGACGAUGACUGACGUUGAGGCUCGAAAGCGUGGGGAGCAAACAGGAUUAGAUACCCCAGUAC
rnacentral:rRNA from 1 species